rnacentral:rRNA from 1 species
AACGAACGCUGGCGGCGUGCUUAACACAUGCAAGUCGAACGCGAAAGUUUUCUUCGGAAAGCGAGUAGAGUGGCGCACGGGUGAGUAACGCGUAAGUUAUCUACCUCGGCAUCUGGAAUAACUCACCGAAAGGUGUGCUAAUACCGGAUACGUUGAGUAAUCAAGAAAGGUGGCCUCUGAAUAUGCUACUGUGCUGAGAUGAGCUUGCGUACCAUUAGCUAGUUGGUAGGGUAAUGGCCUACCAAGGCGACGAUGGUUAGCGGGUCUGAGAGGAUGAUCCGCCACACUGGAACUGGAACACGGACCAGACUCCUACGGGAGGCAGCAGUGAGGAAUAUUGCGCAAUGGGGGAAACCCUGACGCAGCGACGCCGCGUGGAUGAUGAAGGCCUUCGGGUCGUAAAAUCCUGUCAGAUGGAAAGAAGUGUUAUGUGGCUAAUAUCCAUGUAGCUUGACGGU